rnacentral:rRNA from 1 species
UACGGAGGGGGCUAGCGUUGUUCGGAAUUACUGGGCGUAAAGCGCGCGUAGGCGGACCUGCAAGUCGGGGGUGAAAGCCCGAGGCUCAACCUCGGAACUGCCUUCGAUACUGCGGGUCUCGAGUCCGGGAGAGGUGAGUGGAAUUCCGUAGUGUAGAGGUGAAAUUCGUAGAUAUUAGGAAGAACACCAGUGGCGAAGGCGGCUCACUGGCCCGGUACUGACGCUGAGGCGCGAAAGCGGUGGGGAGCAAACAGGG